AGUGAACGCUGGCGGUAGGCCUAACACAUGCAAGUCGAACGGCAGCACAGUAAGAGCUUGCUCUUACGGGUGGCGAGUGGCGGACGGGUGAGGAAUACAUCGGAAUCUACUUUUUCGUGGGGGAUAACGUAGGGAAACUUACGCUAAUACCGCAUACGACCUACGGGUGAAAGCAGGGGAUCUUCGGACCUUGCGCGAUUGAAUGAGCCGAUGUCGGAUGAGCUAGUUGGCGGGGUAAAGGCCCACCAAGGCGACGAUCCGUAGCUGGUCUGAGAGGAUGAGCAGCCACACUGGAACUGAGACACGGUCCAGACUCCUACGGGAGGCAGCAGUGGGGAAUAUUGGACAAUGGGCGCAAGCCUGAUCCAGCCAUACCGCGUGGGUGAAGAAGGCCUUCUGGUUGUAAAGCCCUUUUGUUGUGAAAGAAAAGCAGCAGGUUAAUACCCCGCUGUUCUGACGGUACCCAAAGAAUAAGCACGGGCUAACUUCGUG
rnacentral:rRNA from 1 species